UUCUACCAAUUUUAUCUUUAUCGCCGCAUCCACCUUCUUCACCUUCAACUUAUAAAAUUCUAUUUGCAUAAACGACUUUGAGGAAAGAAGAAACAGGGGAGAAGGAUUGAGAGUUUGUUAACAAAUCUAAUGCAUUGCGACUUCUACAAGUAAAUAAGGGAAUAGUAAGGAGGAGGAAGAAGAGCAAACGGAAGAAAUAUAGGAGGCCGCAAUGUUGAGGCUAUGUAAUUUCACGACAACAAUUUCAACAGGGCCUGCAUGUUUUUUACCAUGGAAAGUGAUGAAAAUGAGGAUUUUCGACUAAUAUUGGGCGACAAAAUAUUCUGGUUUUCUUUAGAUGGGAGACACCUCUCGGCAGUUGCCUACCCAGGUUUUGGCCAUUUCAAAGUCAUCGGUACCUGACAUUUGAAAAUUUUAUCCAAAGUAAAAAUCCAUCCAAGGCGUAAG